GGGAGUUUUGGUAAGAGGAGGAACAAGACUCACACCCUCUGCGUGAGGUGUGGCCGACGCAGCUUCCACCUCCAGAAGAGCCGUUGUGCUGCCUGUGCUUUCCCUGCUGCCCGCAAGAGGAAAUACAACUGGAGUGUGAAGGCCAUCCGAAGAAAGACAACUGGAACCGGAAGAAUGAGGUAUCUCCGCCAUGUACCUCGCAGGUUCAAGAGUGG
rnacentral:misc_RNA from 1 species